CGUACACUCCUACGGGAGGCAGCAGUGGGGAAUAUUGCACAAUGGGCGCAAGCCUGAUGCAGCGACGCCGCGUGGGGGAUGAAGGCCUUCGGGUUGUAAACUCCUUUCGCUAGGGACGAAGCUUUUUUGUGACGGUACCUAGAUAAGAAGCACCGGCUAACUACGUGCCAGCAGCCGCGGUAAUACGUAGGGUGCGAGCGUUGUCCGGAAUUACUGGGCGUAAAGGGCUCGUAGGUGGUUUGUCGCGUCGUCUGUGAAAUUCUGGGGCUUAACUCCGGGCGUGCAGGCGAUACGGGCAUAACUUGAGUGCUGUAGGGGUAACUGGAAUUCCUGGUGUAGCGGUGAAAUGCGCAGAUAUCAGGAGGAACACCGAUGGCGAAGGCAGGUUACUGGGCAGUUACUGACGCUGAGGAGCGAAAGCAUGGGUAGCGAACAGGAUUAGAAACCCCAGUAGUCCCA
rnacentral:rRNA from 1 species